UACGUAGGGUGCAAGCGUUAUCCGGAAUGAUUGGGCGUAAAGCGUCCGCAGGUGGCAGUUCAAGUCUGCUGUCAAAGACCGGGGCUUAACUUCGGAAAGGCAGUGGAAACUGAACAGCUAGAGUAUGGCAGGGGCAGAGGGAAUUCCUGGUGUAGCGGUGAAAUGCGUAGAUAUCAGGAAGAACAUCGGUGGCGAAGGCGCUCUGCUGGACCAUAACUGACACUCAGGGACGAAAGCUAGGGGAGCGAAUGGG
rnacentral:rRNA from 1 species